UACGAAGGGUGCAAGCGUUACUCGGAAUUACUGGGCGUAAAGCGUGCGUAGGUGGUUUUUUAAGUCCGUUGUGAAAGCCCUGGGCUCAACCUGGGAAUGGCAGUGGAUACUGGAAAGCUAGAGUGCGGUAGAGGGUAGUGGAAUUCCCGGUGUAGCAGUGAAAUGCGUAGAGAUCGGGAGGAACACCAGUGGCGAAGGCGGCUACCUGGACCAGCACUGACGCUGAGGCGCGAAAGCGUGGGGAGCAAACAGG
rnacentral:rRNA from 1 species